AUGUCAACCUUGGCCCCCGGGAAGGAUGUGGAAAUUGAAGAAAGGUUUGUGCUACUGGAGCUUGGACCCAAUGAGCAAACAGGAAAAUCCAAGAAAGACUUUGUUGUUGGGAUGUGGAGAUGGCAACUAUUGGUGCUCCGAUCUGGAAAGGAAACUUUGGUGACGCUUUCACCAUUACAUAUUUUGAACGAAGUUGUUUUUUCUGUCUCCCUAAAACUUACAUAUUUUCCUCAAGGUCGACCGGUCGUACUUCAUAAUCUCAAAGAAGUUGAUGUACCUCUCAAGCAUCCUUAUACAUGGACAGUGAUGGGUGGAUGUGAAUCUAGAUGCUUGGUUGAGAUCAAGUUUGGUGUCAACUAUAAAGCGUAUGGCAGAACACACUAUAUUUUGCGCCCUAGACGAAUGAGCACGACGUCAGUGGAGCAAGCCCAGUCUAGUGUCGCGCGCAUGCUGAGAGAAGACAUCCUCACUGACAUCACCAUCAACGCCGUCGGUGGCAGCAUCAGGGCCCACCGCGCCGUCCUGGCCGCGCGGUCGCCGGUGUUCAUGAGCAUGUUCACGCACGACCUCAGGGAGAAGGAGCUCUCCACGGUGGACAUCUCCGACAUGUCCAUCGAGGCGUGCCAGGCCUUCGUGGGCUGCGUCUACGGUGUCGCCAUGUCCGAGGAGGAGCUGCUCGUGCACCGGAGCGAGCUCGUCGUCGCCAGCGACAAAUACGGCGUCGAGAACCUGAAGAAGGUGUGCGAGGAGAGCAUGAUUGUGGACGUCAGCACGGAGAACUUGCUCGAGAGGCUGCAGAUGGCUCACACCUACAGCCUGCCGGCGCUCAAGAGGACCUGUGUGAGGCUUCUCGUGGAUUUGGGAGGAUGUACGAGAUUCCCAAUGAUUUCGAGGAGUUCAUGA
rnacentral:rRNA from 1 species